rnacentral:lncRNA from 1 species
AUCAGUUUGAGGCUACUAGCCACAUGCAACUAUUUCAACACAUGCACACAGAAAGAAUAGUAUGUGAACAUGAAGGCAGAGAGAGAAGGAUGAUGGAUCUACAAGAUAAGGAAUAACAACGAUAGCCAGCAAACCAACAGACGCUGGGAGAGAGGCCUGGAAGAGAUUCUCCCUCAAGGUCCUCGGAAGGAAUCAACUUUGCCAAUACAUUGAUCUUGAACUGCUGGCCUCCAGGACAGGUGGGGUCACCUUGCACUCAGACCAGCAAUGUGAGGACCUGUUUCACCUCAGCUUGACCAACAGAACUUGUCAAGAUUUUGAAUUUUUGCCAGUCUGUGGGGUGAAAGACGGUAUCUUGGUUUAAGAGCUGUUUUAAUUUGCAUUCUUGUUAUGAGUGAACUUGAACAUCUUCACAUAGGUCUAAAAGCCAUUUCCAUAACUGUUUACAUGGACUGUCUGUUCAUAUCUUUUAUCAAUGUUUCUCCUGAGUUUUUGGUCUUUUCUUUGAUUUUUCAGAAUCCUUUGAUUUUUCAGAAUCCUAAUAUUUUAGGGAGCCUUUUCCUUUAUUUCUGACAUGUUGCAAGUAUUUUUUUCCAUAUGUGAUUUCUCUUUUGAUUUUGCUUGUGGUUCUGUCAUGCAGAUUUAAAAAAUUUUUUAUGUUGUUACAAGUUUAUCUUUUAUUUUAUCUGGAUUUUGAGUCCUGGAAAGGCAGUUUAUAAGUGAAUUUACCCACGUUUUAUUUUAGUAUUUGGCUUUGUUUUCUUUCUUGAUUUUCCUUUUUUUCCUACAAUUAGAUCUCUGACUCAUUUGAAGUUUAUUCUGGUGUAUGGUCUGAGGUGUGAAUCCUGUUUUAUAUUUACCAAAUGAUUAUCCAGUUGUCACAACACCACUUAUUAAAAGUCUUUCUUUUCCAAUAAAAAAAAAUGAACUAUCAAACCUCUAAAAGACAUGGAGGAACCUUAAAUACAUACUGCUAAGUGAAACAAACCAAUUUGAAAAGGCUACAUACUGUAUGAUUCCAAAUAUAUGAUAUUCUGGAAAACGCAAAACUAUGGAUGACAAAAACAUCAGUGGUUG